UACAGAGGUCUCAAGCGUUGUUCGGAUUCAUUGGGCGUAAAGGGUGCGUAGGUGGCGCUGUAAGUCGGGUGUGAAAUUUCGGAGCUUAACUCCGAAACUGCAUUCGAUACUGCGGUGCUUGAGGACUGGAGAGGAGACUGGAAUUCAUGGUGUAGCAGUGAAAUGCGUAGAUAUCGAGAGGAACACCUGCGGCGAAGGCGGGUUGCUGGGCUGACACUGACGCUGAGGCGCGAAAGCUAGGGGAGCGAACGGG
rnacentral:rRNA from 1 species